rnacentral:rRNA from 1 species
GACGAACGCUGGCGGCGUGCUUAACACAUGCAAGUCGAACGGAAAGGCCCUGCUUUUGUGGGGUGCUCGAGUGGCGAACGGGUGAGUAACACGUGAGUACCCUGCCCUUGACUUUGGGAUACCUCCAGGAAACUGGGGCUAAUACCGGUUAGGAGCCCCUGCUGCAUGGUGGGGGUUGGAAAGUUUGGCGGGUUGGGAAUGGACUCGCGGCUAUUCGGCUUGUUGGGGGGGUAGUGGCUUACCAAGGCUUGGACGGGUGGCCGGCCUGGGGGGGUAACCGGCAACAUGGGGACGGGGAUACGGCCCAGACGCCUACGGGGGGAAGCGGUGGGGAAUAUGGCACAAGGGGCGGAAGCCGGAUGCAGAAACGCCGCGUGGGGAAGGACGGCCUUCGGGUGGUAAACCGCUUUCGCCUGUGACGAGGCGGAAGGGACGUUAAUGGGUAAAGAAGCACCGGCAAACUACGU